UCAGACUCAAAUUGAAGAAAGUAGGGAGAACUGCUAGGCCAUUCAGGUAUGACCUAAAUCAAAUCCCUAAUGAUUAUACAGUGGAGGUGACAAAUAGAUUCAAGGGAUUAGAUCUGGUAGGCAAAGUGUCUGAACAACUAUGGAUGAAGGUCUGUAACAUUGGAGAAGAGACAGGAAUCAAGA